CUGACGGGCGGCGAGAGGUGUUGGGCGACGAGACGACUCGCCGUCGACCUUCCAAUCUCCGGUCUUAGAGUCUCAGAGUGUGAAUCUGUGAUCCCCUUUUCUUUCUCUCUCUCCCUCUCUGUUUUUUUUUUUUCAUUAAAUUUUUGUUUUUGGUUUUUGUCCUAUGUUUUGUCAAUGAUAUAGCAGAGUAAAUUUCGUUUCAGGGGUUUGAAGAUGACUGUCGAGUGUUGAUUACUGGGGAGCCUUCUUAAUGAUGCAUUUCAAAGAGAAGUUGGGAACCAAUUCAUGGAGAAAGUUUAAAGGACUCUGGACUAGAGUCCUCACUCCUCGCUCAGGUUCCUUCAGAUUUUUUUUUUCAACGCUGACUCUUAAAGAUUUUUCUGUUUUUCAUUUGUUCUUCCUGCUUUCCUAAAUUAUGGGCUCUACUAGGUUGUUGUUGUUGUUGUUGUUAUUAUUUAUUUAUUUAUUUAUUUAUUUUGCAGAAUUUUCGCAUAUCUGUUUUAAUAUGCAUUUGGUCUAUUAAAUUUCAGAGUGCGUUUUGUUGCAUCAUUGUUC
rnacentral:lncRNA from 1 species